rnacentral:rRNA from 1 species
GAUGAACGCUGGCGGCGUGCCUAAUACAUGCAAGUCGAGCGAACAGACGAGGAGCUUGCUCCUCUGACGUUAGCGGCGGACGGGUGAGUAACACGUGGAUAACCUACCUAUAAGACUGGGAUAACUUCGGGAAACCGGAGCUAAUACCGGAUAAUAUAUUGAACCGCAUGGUUCAAUAGUGAAAGACGGUUUUGCUGUCACUUAUAGAUGGAUCCGCGCCGCAUUAGCUAGUUGGUAAGGUAACGGCUUACCAAGGCGACGAUGCCUAGCCGACCUGAGAGGGGGAUUCGCCCCACUUGAAAAUGGGCACGGUCCAGACUCCUACGGGAGGCAGCAGUAGGGAAUCUUCCGCAAUGGGCGAAAGCCUGACGGAGCAACGCCGCGUGAGUGAUGAAGGUCUUCGGAUCGUAAAACUCUGUUAUUAGGGAAGAACAAAUGUGUAAGUAACUAUGCACGUCUUGACGGUACCUAAUCAGAAAGCCACGGCUAACUACGUG